UACAGAGGUCUCAAGCGUUGUUCGGAUUCAUUGGGCGUAAAGGGUGCGUAGGCGGCGCGGUAAGUCGGGUGUGAAAUCUUGGAGCUUAACUCCGAAACUGCAUUCGAUACUGCCGUGCUUGGGGACUGGAGAGGAGACUGGAAUUUACGGUGUAGCGGUGAAAUGCGUAGAUAUCGUAAGGAAGACCAGUGGCGAAGGCGGGUCUCUGGACAGUUCCUGACGCUGAGGAGCGAAAGCGUGGGGAGCGAACAGG
rnacentral:rRNA from 1 species